UUGGCUAGAAAGAGAGAGAAGUGGCAGUAGAUGUCUGAGUUGGAUUGGCAAGGAAAGGAGAGAAAGAAUGGCAUAGUGGCUGGCUGUGAGCUAGGGUAUAUGGGACUGGUGGGUCAAAAGAACAAAUUUAUUCUAAUUAAUGUCUAGUCUUAUUUUGUAUUUGGAAAUAAAAUGAAUUAAUUAAAUGAUACAUUUACUAAGGGUAAAUUGGGAAAAGAUAAGUUAUUUUUUCUAAUGCAUUAAUGACAUUGUUUAAAGUCUAAAUAAAGUGUCACAUGCCAUGAGAAAAAUGGAAAAAGUCAAAAAGAGAAGGUUAGAGAGAAAGUUGUUAGCAUUCCCCGAACGCAACUCAUCCG
rnacentral:lncRNA from 1 species